rnacentral:lncRNA from 1 species
CUUUUUAAAUGUUAUUUCGGACUUUUUAAAUAUGUUAUUUCGGACUUUUUAAAUUUGUUUUAUAACAGACUUAGAUUCGAUAAGUCUGUUGUUGACCAAUAAACUUAAAUUCUAAAUCUGACCACCAGACUUAAACCUUUGUAUAUUUAUAUAUAAAAAUAAGCAAAUUUAAUGUUACUUUUUUAAAUUUUAUUUGUUUAAUCAUGAAAGCAAAAUCUAAAAUAGAACAAAAUUUCAUAAUAAAAUAUAUAUUUCAAAUUGUGCAAUUCAAAUACAUAAUAUAAAAUUUCAAAAUCCAAAUAAACAAAUAAGAUGUCUAACUUAAAAUUUGUAGUUUAACUUAAUCUCUUAAGUCUAAGUAACCUAAAAAAACUUAAAUAAUAUCUAAUAAAAAACAAAACUUAAAUAACAACUAAUCAAAGCCUAAUCUUCGGGUUGAAGGGAAAUAACUUUGUAGACUUCAUGCACUUGUCAUAAGUCUGCCUAUUGCCAUGUAAAAAAGGAAAAUUAAAUAUAAUAAAUAAUAUAAUAAAAUGAAGAAAUGUACAAUAAAAAAAUUAAGAUAUUUAUUUAUAUUUUUUUUCACAAUUAUCCUUUUUAGUACUAAAGCUCCUUCUUAUUGUUUCUCUUAAUUAUUAAGUUGCCAAAUAUUAUAUUUCAUCUUUGAAUAAAUAAAAGAAAGGAAAAUAAAAUAAAAUUCCUAUUUGGUGAAUGAACUAAUAUGGUCAUGAAUAAAAUCUCAAUUCUAUCUAUGUAAUAAGAAAAUCUUUCACACACACACAUAUAUAUAUAUAUAUAUAUAUAUAUGUGUGUGUUUUUUUGUGUGAAGUAACUUAAAGCACCAAUAUACAAAUUUGGUCUAUAAUUCAUGUAUACACAAAGGCUAGCAUGGGUGAAAUAAAAUAAAGUUAUUUUAUAAUGGACAAGCAAGGUCCACUCAUAUUUAUUAAAAUAUGAUAAAAUUGAAUAUAAUAGACUUAACUUAUAACAUUGAAUUGAAUGGAAACAAUUUCACAAUAAUAACACUGAAAUACUCAUACUCAUUCGGUUGCCUUUAAAAGAAUUAACAGCAGCAAAAUCAUUUUUUUUUCAUUUAUAUGGAAAAUGGUGUAUCAAAGGUAGUUGUUAAAGUAUAAUAUAAAAAAAAUUAUACGUAUGAUUUGUACAUACGGUCCAAGUAAAGAUAAAACACUUUCUAUUUUCCUACUAUUUAUAAAAUAUAUUCCUUACUUCUAAAUGUAAAAUAUAAAUAUAAAAAUCAGGAAUUGAAGUUGGACUGUUACAUGAUGGCAUGCGUUAAUGUAAAAAAAUUUAUACAACAAAGGUACAUGGAGGAUAAUUUAAUUGCGUGAGGGAAUUAUUAAUUCCAUAAACCAGAUCAGCGUAUCGACAACCACUAAUAACAACCUUUCACAAUAUGGCAUAACAGAGUAUACAAGAUACAACAAGGAGCAAACUAGAAAAUCACACUGUCAUAUAUUAAUCAGCUUAAAAAACAUACCUUCAUCAUUCACAGUACAGUGAAUCCAACACUUGUACUUCCCAAUUCAGUGGCAAUAACAGAGCAGUGACUAAUUUUGCGAAAAAUUUCAGAAACCUGUAACCAAAACCGUGUGCGAUAUGGGAAGAAAAUUUAAGAAAAUGAAAGAUGUCGUAACCCAUGUCAGUGUUCAAAGAAGUGAUGAUACUAUUGCCAAUAUUAGCCACAAUCACCAUCUUCUAUAAACUAUAAACUAGCAAUAGAGCAACAUAAACAAAAGCAGAAUAGACACCCAAAUCUCCAAUUUUGAAUCCUAAUCCCCAAGAAUAAAAGACCCAAAUCCCUAAUUUUAAACCCUAACCCCCAAAACGCACCAAUAAUCAUGCAUGAGAGCAUCAAGAACGUCACUGUUGCUGAGCCACCAAAGGUCGUGUUGUCAGGUGGAUGAGAGAUUGGGAAACAAAUUGGUGUGGAGAUGCGGAGGGAGAGAAAUAGCGAAAGAGAUGGGGAAGGAAAGAAAGGGGAGGGUUUGCAAUUAAAAAAGAAAU